CCAGCAUUUAUAACAAUGUUACAAUCAAUAAAAUUAUAGAUAUUUAUUAACUUAGGUAACUAAAAUAUAAUUUAGUUCAGUCUUUAUGCAAAAAAAAAAUAUAUAUCACUUCUUGUAUAACAAUAAAUCUCAAAAUAUUUGAAAAAAAAUGUAUUAAAUUAAAUAGUUCGAAAAAAUGUACGACAAAUUCAAAAUAAAAAAAAGUGACAUUUAGUUGAAAAAGUGACAACCCUGUAGUCAUAAAAAUGUGAUCUUAAACACAAUUUAAAAAAAAAAAUUAAAUUGAAAACAAUAAAACCAUUAUAUUCAUAAACUUUCCCGUUCUUUUAUCGGUUUUGCUCAAUUAUUAAUAAUGUGUAUAACACGGAAAAUCAAAAAAUUACUUUCUUAAAGUCAACAAGAUUUAAAAUUGAACAAAAAGGGCCCCGGCGUUUUUCGAUUAAAGCAAUUUAUUUCCGAGAGAAAACAAAUCGUACCUAAAAAUUUGACUUAAACGCCAUAAAUUAAUUUUUUUAUUUCUGUCUUCUUCUGAUUAUUUCCAAUUAUUUUUUAAAAACCAUUUGAAAUAUUAUAAAACGACUUAUUUACUCAACAACUAUAUCCAAAAUUAAACAUAAAAGUUAUCUUGUAUUCUUGUGGUUUUUUGAUUGAAUCAAGAUUUCUAGUAGAAACCACAGUUCCCUGAAUUUUAAAAUAAUGAAAUCAUACGCCGUAAAUUUGUUUGUUUUCAUUUUUUCAGUUCUUCCCAAUUAUUUUGAAAAUUGCCGGAUAAUUCAACAAAUGACCUUUUCAAUGCAUCAACUAUAUGUACACAAUUUUCUUUCAAAAAGGUGCUACACUUGAUACAUCGGAGGAACUUUUCGAAUAAAAAACUUGCACCCACAAAAAAAAAAGGGGCAGAUACUAGGAAUGGAUGGGCCCACUGCUGUAGGAUAGUGUCAAAGAUGGGAUGCAUAAGGUUAUUCAAUUCUUAUCUGUAAUCAACGAUAACCAUUAAUAAAAAAACGAUUCGGAGGGAAGUUUAAAUAUAUAUGUUAAAUCGUUGACGAAAUUUCAAAAAAAUCGUUUAUUUUGGUUAUUCCCAAUUAUUAUGAAAAUCACUUUGGAUAUUGAAAAAUGACUUACAAUGGCGAAAUAUUAAUAGGAAUAAAAUCUAUCUCUGGUCAUUUUUCGAUAGAAGUAAUAUUUCUAAAAGAAAACUUAAGUGUAUUAUUUUAUAUAUAUAUUUUUAACAUAAUGAACAUGUUAACGCCAUAAAUAUUACGCUGUAUUUUUGGGAAUAGAAAUUUCAUUCAUUCAAAAUUCACCCGAUUUAAAAAUGGUUUUUCUCCAUACUUUAAAUAAUUAAUUUUACAAAAUAUCAAUUUUCAAGUUUUUUUUUUUUUUAAAUUAAACAAACAUUUUAGGGGUUCUUGACUUUCUUUAUUUUAGACCAAAGGAGUCUAUUAGUCAUAUAAUACAUUGAAUAAAAACUAAACUACAAUAUCUGCAUUAUAUUUCGAAUUACGACUACUGACUUUCCAAUUUACAUACCAACUGUAUAAAUGUACCUACACAAAUAUUGGUGCAUUGUUUCACUGUUAUUAGUUUUUUCUGUUAGUAUUUUUACUGUUAUUAAUAUUAAUAAAAGUAGUAUGAUUAAUAAAUGACAACACAUAAUUUAAACUAAUUGGUCAUCUCAGAUAACAAUUUUUUUGUCUUUCUAAUUAAUAAUUGUAUAAUGAUUAAAACAAAUUCCCAAAUUUUAAUGAUUGCAAAAUUAAGGCAUUACAAAAUAAUCUGUUUAAGUUGCAAUAACUGUCUGGUGACCUUCAUAAUUCAACGAUGAAACCAUCUCAUACCUACCAAAAUGAAGUAGCAUGAAAGUCCUUGAGUAGCUCAUUAAACACAAUUACCUUGCAAGUACUACUAUAGAAGUGUGUCAUUAUGUAUACAUUUCGAAAUUACGUGAUGACAAUAAUAGUACAAGUUCAGCGAAAUGUUUAAUACAAUUCCUAAUAUUAUCAAAGAUUUCUUAAUUAACAAAUUAAAAUUCAAUAUAAUGAGAUUUAUAAUAUUUCCAUAAAAACACAGGUACAACAUAUUAGAUAUUUCACCACUGAUUAGUUUCACUUGUUGAUUCUAUAAGACAAGUUAAAAUUUAAAAAUUAUUACGAAAAAUAUUAACAAAUAAGUA